UUACCCUCAGAGAAAGAGAGAGUCUUUGGAGAGUUGUGAGGAGAUAAGUGACAUAAACUGGCAUGUUCUGAAAGAAUCACUCUGGAUGCUGUGUGGAGAAAACACUGAAAAGUCUUUAUAGGGGGAGAAUAAUUGACUCCAUUCAAGUGUUCGCUCCUGUUUCAAUCAACUAUGGCUGAAGAGUGAGGAGACAUUUGGAAUAAAUAUGGCUUCUGGGGGCCCAUUCCUAUGGAUCAGCAGCUGGCUUCUGGAGGCCCAUUCCUGUGAAUCGUCGAUCUCAUAGAAGAUAAUAUUGUUAGAAGGCUUACCUCAUUGAUGCUGAACAUCCUAAAAAGCUUCUGCUGCUUUGAGUCACUGAAAAAGACCAAGAAACAUGAAUUUAAAAAAAAAUUUCAAAUGUUAUAAAAUAAAUAAUAUGAACUCAUUAUACCUACAAUGAAUAAUUUAAAUUCUUCUUUGGUAGUCCAGGGUCCCACUCUGUCACCCAGGCUGGAGUACAGCGGCACAAUCAUGGCUCACUGCAGCCUCGACCUUCUGGUCUCAAGUGAUCCUCCCACCUCAGCCUCCCAAAGUGCCUGGAUUACAAGUGUGAGCCACCAAAUUUGGCCAAGAACCCCAACUUCUAUUAUGUAGUCUUCUCUCUUCUACAGCAACACUCAAGAGGGUCAGAAUGAAAUGUACAACACUUUUACAAAGCACACCCAGAAUCUACGGGUUACCUCAGUGCCUCAUCCCAGAUUUUGAUAUGGAUUUUUAAGUUGACUUUUCAUCACCCAUUAAUUUUUUCAAACUCACACUGGGAAUAGAACAUAUUUUAUUACUGCAAUAUGUUGACUCUUUACACCCUUUGUAGGAAUUUGUGUUACUUAUAAAGAAUAUAACUGUAAACAAAGAUGACAAGGUAUUUUUCUCACCAAAAACAUUUUUUCUGUACUGAGUGGUUCUUGAACAAAGGAAGCUUACUUGACCUACCUAAUGUGUAAGGAAUUAGGUACAGAAGCUGGUUAGGUAAGGCAAAGAAUGAGGAUGAGAAAUUUACUUAUCAGGGGUUUAGAGCGGUCAUUAGAAAAGCCUCUACUUCCCAGACUGGUUUGUCCUGCUCAGUGAAGAGUGUUUUAUUCCAACAUCCUCUUUCCCUAACAGGCAUUUAAAAUAAUGAGAGAAUUUUUUAAAACAAGAUAUUUACAGUAAAUAAAAACCUGUCACCACAAAGUGGGGAAAGUUGCUGACAUUUUCCUGGGCAUAGGAUAUGCUCAUUGAAUAUGGCACCAAGCCUGCUUCCUUCAGUGAAUCCAUUUUAUCAGCAAUUAGGACUGUUGUUUCACUUAAAUGGAGAAUUCCAUUAUGACUCCUCAGCAACCUUAACAGAUAGAAAGCUUUUUGUAAUAUUGCUAACUACACAGGAGGAAAGUAGUUAUAAACUCCCUUUUGUGCUGUGGUGGAUAGUCAGUGGAAAAAAAAUCACCUUAAAAUAUUUCUCAGGACAUGUUGGCCUAUACCUCAUUUGAAUUCACGCAUCUUUAAAAUAAAAUCUGUGCCUGGCGCCGUGGCUCACGCCUGUAAUCCCAGCACUUUGGGAGGCCAAGGUGGGUGGAUCACCUGAGGUCGGGAGUUUGAGACUGGCCUGACCAAUAUGGAGAAACCCCGUCUCUACUAUAAAUACAGAAUUAGCCGGGCAUGGUGGCGCAUGCCUGUAAUCCCACCUACUCGGGAGGCUGAGGCAGGAGAAUCGUUUGAACCUAGGAGGCGGAGGUUGCAGUGAGCCGAGAAUGCGCCACUGCACUCCAGCCUGGGCAACAAGAGUGAAACUCCAUCUCAAAAUAAAAUAAAAUAAAAUAAAAUAAAAUAAAAUAAAAUAAAUCUUAUUUUUAUUUUUAAAAUAAAAUCUUUAUUUUAUAAUAAAAAAUUUAAAAUUUUUUAAAUGAAAAUUUUAAAUAAAACAUUUUUUAAAUAAAAAAUUUAAAGAAAAUAAAAAGAUUUCAUUUUCUUUAAAAUAAAAUCUGGCUGUCCAAUUGUUAUUUCUUCGGUUGCUUUUCAAGAAAGUGUGAAGUCAAAAAGUAAUUUUAAAAGGUAGGACUCUUCAAUCUGCUUGAACAACAACAACUAGAUAGUCUUAAAUAAGUUCCUUUUAUUUAUUCUUACGUUGGUAUUUUAAGUUAAAUAUUAUACCAAUAAGAAUAGCUAGUUACGAAACAGCAGGAAAUUCCACAUAUUUAUUUAAAAAAUAGACAUGUUUUUAAAAUCUCAUUAAUGACUUUGUAAAUUGUAAUACCUACCUUUGGUAAGGGUGCAAUGAAAUAAACACCCAUAGGUACUAGUGGACAUGGCAUAAACUGCUACUAUCUUUCAGAAAAGGCAAUUUCAUAAUAUACAUCAAAACCCUAACAUGUUUGACCCUUUGCUUCAGAAAUUGAACUUUUAGGAAUUUAGCCUGAUGGAAUGUAUAAUUAAAGAAAUGGACAAAUACUUGUGUGCAAAUGUGUUUGUCAUGACAUUAUCUGUAAUACAAAAAAGCUGGAAAAAACAUAAAUCUACAAUAACUGGGAAUUGGUUAAUGAAAUAGUAGGCUAUUCAUACAAUAGAUUGCCACAUAGGCAUCAAGAAAUAUCCUAUUUGAAAUUAGUAUAUACAAACAAAGAAAAAAUGUUAAGUUGUUAUCUCUCAGUCCAGAUGUCUUAUUUUCUUUACUCUUUUCUGUAUUUUCCAAAUUUCCUUCAGUGAACAUCUUCAGUUAAGAGGCCUUAAAAGUUCAUUUGCUAGUAUUAUGCUGAAAAGUUCUUUUUUAAAAAAU
rnacentral:lncRNA from 1 species